rnacentral:lncRNA from 1 species
AGAUUUGACCCAUAUGGAAAGAAUAAGUUCUCCACUUGCAGAAUUUGUAAAAGUUCUGUGCACCAGCCGGGUUCUCAUUACUGCCAGGGCUGUGCUUACAAAAAGGGCAUCUGCGCUAUGUGUGGAAAAAAGGUUUUGGAUACCAAAAACUACAAACAAACGUCUGUCUAAAUGUAUUGAAGUAUCUACCUUUCCAUAUGAUUUACUUUUUGCUUUGAAUUUUCAAGGUAUAACAUAGAUAUUCAAUUUACAAAAUAACAUGCCUUUAGAUAAUUACGUUUAAACCAGGGAAGUAGAUGGGUAUUCAUUCUUUUGCUCUCAAGAAGUUCUGAAUGGCAACAGUAUAAAGUUUUCUGCCUAAAGGUUUUAUUUUCCUUACAAAUAUCUUACUGAACUGGAAUAAGUGAUAAAUUAACAAAAAAAAUAUUUUCCCAGUUCUGUAUGCACUUUUUAUUUAUCAUUACUCAUAUAAUUUUUAUUAUCUUUUUUUCUACUUUAUAUGUAGAUCUUGAAAAAGUGAGAAGGAGGUUAUUAAUAUUGGCUUUGAACUUGGCAUUUAGAUUUGUAAUUCUUCACUCAUCCCCUUUUUAUUCAUAUAGUUCUUAGGGUCAGCAGUCCCUUAAUUAAUUGUGGCUUCAUAGAGCAUUUAAAUAUCUGAGACCAUUGUUGCUAAAUAGUUCCUAAGUGAUUAGCUCAGACCCAAAUCAAACAAAAGUUGUAUUUGUGGUAUUUUUGAUUUGUUCUUGAAGCCAAAGUGCCAGUACCUUUCACAUGAGAACAGGAACACAAGGGAUACCCUCUAUGUGUCCACAUCAACACACUGGAUUUGAGAAAAACACGUAUUACACAUUACCUUGAAUUCAGACCAUCAUGAAAGCCAAGAGAACAGUGUGCAUCUAUCAUGAUAGAUCACAAUCCUUUGGGAAAGUGCUUUGAAGUAGAAACUAAACUUUUUUUUUUCUUACUUCCUCUCCUUUUCCCCCCCCCCCCCCGCCAAAUAAAUAGACUAAGCAAACAUUUUUAUUUUUAUUUAUUUAUUUAUUUAUUUUGUUUUUUGCUUUUUAGGGCCACACUCUGGCACAUGGAGGUUCCCAGGCUAGGGGUCAAAUCGGAGCUACAGCUGCUGGCCUGCACCAGAGCCACAGCAAUGCGGGAUCCGAGCUGUGUCUGUGACCUACACCACAGCUCACAGCAACACCCAGAUCCUUAACCCACUGAGCGAGGCCAGGGAUCAAACUCACAACCUCGUGGUUCCUAGUUGGAUUCGUUUCCGCUAUACCACAACGGGAACUUCUAAGCAAGUUAAAUAUAUGUAACAUAGAUUGCUAAAAGACUACUUUGAGGUUUCAAGGAUUUUUCCUAUGUUGCCUUCAGAGGCACAGGACUUUUGCUUUUGAAACCUGUUAACUUACUGUGGGAGACAGAAAAAAGUAUUCCCCAUUGCCAAGUACAGUAUAAAUACAUAUCACUAUCAAAUGUGUAGAGGAGAUAACAUGAUGCUACACAUGGUAUAGAUGGCACAUUUUUAUUUGUUUUAAAAUUAUUAUAGAAAGUAUUUAAAGUUUUAACUGUUUAAGUUAUCUAUAAGUUCCACCACCCAAAGGUCAUCCUUAUUCUUACCCAGAAAGAUCACAAUAAAAUGCAAAAUAUAAUAAAUAAUAAUAGCUCUGAGGGCAAGAAGUAUCGUCUCGUGCUUUAAUUUGGAAUUUUAAACUAAGAUCAAUGCAAGGGACUCAUGAUAGGACCUGUGAGUGGUCCAGAAUCAUUAAAAGUUGGGUUGGUCAACUUUGGGAAAAGAGCAUUUCUCAGGUAUCAACUGGGAUCUAGGCUUCACAACUCAGAUUUCAUUUUUAUGCCUUGACUAGCUUUCUUCCAUGUAUGAUCCAAUGGCCAGACUCAGGUUCUCCUAUAAAGAUAUUUAUACUAGGAGUUCCCGUCGUGGCACAGUGGUUAACGAAUCUGACUAGGAACCAUGAGGUUGUGGGUUCGACCCCUGGCCUUGCUCAGUGGGUUAAGGAUCCGGCAUUGCCGUGAGCUGUGGUGUAGGUCGCAGAUGCAGCUCAGAUCUGGUGUUGUUGUGGCUCUGGCAUAGGCCGGCAGCGACAGCUGCGAUUAGACCCCUAGCCUGGGAACCUCCACCUGCCGCGAGAGCAGCCCUAGGAAGGCAUAAAAGACCAAAAAAAAAAAAAAAAAAAAAAAAAUUAUGCUAUUAUACCACAGAAUAGUAUAAGUAUUUUAAAUCUUCAUAUUGUUGAAAUAAUAAUAAUGACUGUCAUAAAUUAGAAGUUACUAAAUGAGGAGGAAAUUCCCAAGGCAAAAGUGAACAUAAAAUAUUUUUUAAAAAGAAGACGAAAGCAGAAACGGUAUAUUGAGAUGAUGCAGUUAAGACCAAAUGUUGCUUUUAUCAAUGUAAAAAAUGAUGAAAUAACUUUUUUUCACUUUUUAAAGGUGUACUGAAGUAUAUAGUUAAUUUACAGUGCGAUGAAUUUUGCUGUGCAACAAAGUGAUUCAAUUAUGCAUGUACACACAAAAAAAUAACUUUUUAAAAUUUCAGAUUCUAUUAUAUAUGUGUGUGUGUCAGAAACAACUGAAAUAUCAACAGAACACUUCUCAAGUACAUUCAUUAGGAUAUGCAGCCAUAAAAAUGAUAUAAGAAAUUACAUAUAUGUGUAGAAGUUUGUGUAUACACAUUGAAAAUAUCUGAAAGCAAGUUAGUACUGUUUUUCUCUGAGCAGUGGAACUAAGAGUUGAGAAAAGAAAGACUUAACCUUGUGCAGCCUCAUGCCACUUACCUAAUAACUUUCUGGCUUCUACUUUCCCUACCUGAGGGAGCAGGAGAGUACUAAUAAUUUUAGUAUUUUAGAAAUAUAUAUGUACAUGCACAUAUAUAUAUUUUUUUGAGAAUUUCAAGUAGAAGAAAUGUACAUAUUCUGUACUUCAACUUCUUGUCUGUUUGUUUGUUUAGGGCCGCUCCCACAACAUAUGGAAGUUCCCAGGCUAGGGGUUGAAUCGGAGCUGUAGACACUGGCCUACGCCACAGCCACAGCAAUGCCUGAUCCAAGCUGGUGUGUGUGACCUAUACCAUAGCUCAUGGCAACACCAGAUCCUUAACCCACGAGCGAGGCCAGGGAUUGAACCUGCGUUCUCAUGGAUACUAGUCUGAUUUCGUUUCCGCUGAGCCACAACAGGAACUCCUGUACUUCAACUUCUUAAUGUUUCUCCUCUUUGCUUUACUAUUUUCUAUCUCCUGUUAUACAUUUUUUUUCUUGACCACAUGAUGAAUAUGUUGACGACAUCAUACACUUUAAUACUACCUUUGUACUUCAGAAGAUCAAGCAUACUAUGUGUGAUUAUCAAAUUCAGGAAUUUAACAUUGAUGCGACGCUUUGUAGUCAUUAUUCAAAUUUCAUUUGUUGUUCCAUUGGUAAUUUUUUUUUUCAGCUUCAGGAUCUAGUCCAGGAUCAUACGUUGUGUUAUCAUGACUCUAAUCUGGACCAGCUCUUCAGCCUUUCUUUGUCUUUGUUGAUUUAUGUGAAGAAUAUGGGACAGUUAAAGUAUAGGAUAUCCUUCCAUUUGAGUUUUUCUGAUUCUUCUUUCUGGUUAGAUUUGGGAUAUGCAGUAUGGGCUGACUGUGAGUGAUGGGCCCAAUGUCACAUCCAGACUCAUAGAAUGUCCCAUUGCCUCUUGUUGGUAAUGUUAAUUUGAUCACUUGUUUAAGAUGUCAUCCAGUUUCUCCACUAUAUAAUUACUAUUUUUCCUUUCGCAAUUAGUAGAUAAUUUGUGAAAAACUUUGAGACCAUGUUGAUUGAUAGUCUAUUCCUCAUUAAACCUUUCUCUCCUAGAUUUAGCAUCUUUUGAUAAUUCUUGUCUGAAUAAAUUUUUACUGUCAUGU